AUACGGAGGAUGCGAGCGUUAUCCGGAUUUAUUGGGUUUAAAGGGAGCGUAGGCGGGAGCUUAAGUCAGCGGUUAAAUGGUGCGGCUCAACCGUGCCCUGCCGUUGAAACUGGGUUUCUUGAGAGUGCAAGAGGCGGAUGGAAUUCAUGGUGUAGCGGUGAAAUGCUUAGAUAUCAUGAAGAACUCCGAUUGCGAAGGCAGUCCGCUGGGGCACGUCUGACGCUGAUGCUCGAAGGUGCGGGAAUCAAACAGGAUUAGAUACCCUGGUAGUCCGCACGGUAAACGAUGAUUACCCGCUGUCGGCGGUAGACAGUCGGCGGCCAAGCGAAAGCGAUAAGUAAUCCACCUGGGGAGUACGCCGGCAACGGUGAAACUCAAAGGAAUUGACGGGG
rnacentral:rRNA from 1 species